rnacentral:rRNA from 1 species
UGGGGAAUAUUGCACAAUGGGGGAAACCCUGAUGCAGCGACGCCGCGUGAACGAAGAAGGUAUUCGUAUCGUAAAGUUCUGUCCUAUGGGAAGAUAAUGACAGUACCAUAGAAGAAAGCUCCGGCUAAAUACGUGCCAGCAGCCGCGGUAAUACGUAUGGAGCGAGCGUUGUCCGGAAUUAUUGGGCGUAAAGGGUACGCAGGCGGUUUAAUAAGUCGAAUGUUAAAGAUCGGGGCUCAACCCCGCAAAGCAUUGGAAACUGAUAAACUUGAGUAGUGGAGAGGAAAGUGGAAUUCCUAGGGUAGUGGUGAAAUACGUAGAUAUUAGGAGGAAUACCAGUAGCGAAGGCGACUUUCUGGACACAAACUGACGCUGAGGUACGAAAGCGUGGGGAGCAAACAGG